GCGGUGGUUGGGAUUAGGUGCGGCGUCAGAAGCAAGUGGCGGCCAGGAGCAGGUGGUGGCAGAGGCUAGGGUUAGAGGCUAGGGUUUCUUUGUUUCUUUCUUUUUUUGUUUUUGGGUUUGGGAUAGGUUUUUCUUUAUUUGGGCUUGUUUGUAAUUUGGGUUAUUGGGUCUGCUAUUUGGGGUUUGGGUAUUCGGUAGGUUUGGACAUUUGGGCAUUGGGCCCUGCUUUUAUUUGGUGCGAGCCCGGGCAAAUUAGGCUAUACAUAGAUUAUAGAUAUGAUUUUAGUUUAUUUAAUUAUCUAUUAACAUUACUAACAAUUCUCUUCUUUUCAAGGAACUUGAUAGCACUAGAAAGAACAUAGGUUUUCCUCCUUAUUGGUUAAAUUG
rnacentral:lncRNA from 1 species